GCUGCUGCGUCCAAGCUGGGUGCUCUCCGAGCGCAGGGAGGCAGGCUGCGAUCGGCGGGGCGCAGCUGGGGGAGCCCGGGCCGGCGAACCUGCGCGCGAUCUCCGCGGGUCCCCGGCGCCGAGGCCAGGACGGCCGGCGCUUUGGCCUUGGAUGGAAAUGGGGACUGGUCCUCCGGGCCCUCUACCGUGGAUUACUUGGUGCAUCUCUGCCGGGCUUGAUGAACCACGACCUCGUCUCCAUCCGUGGAUUGGUGCGUGCUACCCAAUAGUCGGGUCGUUUCCCUGGAGGUGAAAUCAGAGGGCUGUGGCUGACCUGAAUAGAUGCAUAGAUGCUUUGAACCAAGAAAGCAGGACAAGUUGAAAGGCGAGCUGCACCCCGAAAUCAAGGUAUGGCCGCAGCCCCGAAGCCCCCCUGGCUUUGGAUUUCUUCUCCUUCCAUGUCAUAUCUGGUUGC
rnacentral:lncRNA from 1 species